rnacentral:sRNA from 1 species
AUGGUAUAUUCCCGGUUCUUUGUUGUUGCUCUUCUAAUGUCGUCCUUAAACCCGAUGCAUUUUGUGUUUGACCAGUCAUUUCUACGUAUAUCACUGUCGUAUUUUCAUGUCCUUGGUAAAAUUUUGGCAACGACCCUAUUCAAAAAAAUCACAAAA